CCUACGGGUGGCUGCAGUGAGGAAUAUUGGUCAAUGGGCGCGAGCCUGAACCAGCCAAGUAGCGUGAAGGAUGACUGCCCUACGGGUUGUAAACUUCUUUUAUAACGGAAUAAAGUAAGGCACGUGUGCCUUUUUGUAUGUACUUUAUGAAUAAGGAUCGGCUAACUCCGUGCCAGCAGCCGCGGUAAUACGGGGGAUCCGAGCGUUCUCAGUGUUUAUUGGGUUUAAAGGGUGCGUCGGCGGAAUGCCAAGUCAGCGGUAAAAUCGCGGGGCUCAACCUCGCUCCGCCGUUGAAACUGGCGGUCUGGAGUGGGCGAGAAGUAUGCGGAAUGCGUGGUGUAGCGGUGAAAUGCAUAGAUAUCACGCAGAACUCCGAUCGCGAAGGCAGCAUACCGGCGCCCAACUGACGCUGAAGCACGAAAGCGUGGGUAUCGAACAGGAUUAGAUACCCCAGUAGUC
rnacentral:rRNA from 1 species